rnacentral:rRNA from 1 species
AAACGAACAAGGUCUCCGUAGGUGAACCUGCGGAGGGAUCAUUA